GACGAACGCUGGCGGCGUGCUUAACACAUGCAAGUCGAACGGAAAGGCCCUGCUUUUGUGGGGUGCUCGAGUGGCGAACGGGUGAGUAACACGUGAGUAACCUGCCCUUGACUUUGGGAUAACUUCAGGAAACUGGGGCUCAUACCGGAUAGGAGCUCCUGCUGCAUGGUGGGGGUUGGAAAGUUUCGGCGGUUGGGGAUGGACUCGCGGCUUAUCAGCUUGUUGGUGGGGUAGUGGCUUACCAAGGCUUUGACGGGUAGCCGGCCUGAGAGGGUGACCGGCCACACUGGGACGGAGAUACGGCCCAGACUCCUACGGGAGGCAGCAGUGGGGAAUAUUGCACAAUGGGCGGAAGCCUGAUGCAGCAACGCCGCGUGCGGGAUGACGGCCUUCGGGUUGUAAACCGCUUUCGCCUGUGACGAAGCGUGAGUGACGGUAAUGGGUAAAGAAGCACCGGCUAACUACGUG
rnacentral:rRNA from 1 species